rnacentral:RNase_P_RNA from 1 species
AGUGCAACAGAAAGUAAACCGCCCCUGUUGGGUAAGGGUGAAACGGUGGUGUAAGAGACCACCAGCGUUGCUGGUGACAGCAACGGCUUGGUAAACCCCAUCCGGUGCAAAACCAAGUAGGGUGCCAACUCGUGGCCCGCGAGACGCACCCGGGUUGGUUGCUAGAGUCCUGCAGCAAUGCAGUCUGACCUAGAUGGAUGACCGUUACCGUGGGCUUGGCAACGAGCCCACGGCACAGGAUCCGGCUUAUCGCCGGUCCAUCCCA